CAGCAAUACAAACUCUGGCUAAGCCAUGGAAAUAUGUACAAAAGUGAGCAAAUGCUAAUUAGAGACACAUGACAUCUCUGUGGAGUCAAGUUGCAUGAUCUGAUUCAAACUUCGUUAUUCAGAGGGUAAGACCUCAUCAGCUAAAUGCACUCCGUACAUCGUUGGCAACUUUCGGCUAUGCUUCAGAAUGUCAUGAUUGCUGUGACUACCUAGCUGUACAGUCAUUUGAUACACAAGUGAGUUCUCAUAUAGUUUUCUCAAUACUCACCAAGAUCCUUCAAGGACCUAUGGAGCCAUUCUCUGACUUUGUAGCCCGUUUAGUGGAAGCAGCAAGGAGAAUCUUUUUUGAUCUGAUCAGAAUCUAUGAAGUGAAGAAUCAAUCUCUUUGUGCUGAAUAUAGGUUGCCAAACUGCCUCUGGAUAAUUUUUGAAUAGCAUCUUGUACAUAUGCAUUUGCUUUUUAGGUGGUUUCUCAUAAUCUAUUAAUACUCCACAUAGCUGCACAGAAUUAUAUUUCUGUAAAUUUCCAAGCCAAGUGAUUGCUUGUCCUGGAUUGGAAUCGUGUGGGUAUUUCUAGAUCAAUGUGUGUAAUCCUAAGGGAUUCAUCUUGAUAUAUUAUCAUCUACAGAUGGUCUAAUAACUACAACGUUUGAUACACAGCCUUCGAUACACCUUCCCUCACUUGUGUAAAAGAUUAUUAUUUACAGCAGAAGGAACCUGUAAUAUUUAGGCUACUACAUGAAUCCCUUAGCUAAAAUAUCUAUGCAUGCUUAUUCAUGCCCAAAAAGGUCCAUGGGGAGACCCACCUGGCUAAAAAUGUCAAUUUCUACUCAGAUGUCCACUAUGUAUACAGUCUGAGGAAGAGUCAGUUGAGUUCAUGUGUGGAACUGAAGAAUAUUCAGCCAUUUUCCAAACGAAAGACCAAAAAAACAAAAACAAAAACAAAAACAAAACAAGUUACUAAGAUAAUGAUUGAGUGAAUGCUUUCAUCUAUGUAGAACAUUAAUUUUAGCCUCACAUACAAAUGUGUGAUGUGCAGUAUUUUCAACACUGUAUUUCAGAAGGAAUUAUAUACUUUUGCAUAUGGUCUCUCUGGACUAGUGUAUGAUAUCAAUAUAGUUUGCUGUGACAGAUUUUCAAGUAAAUAUGAAAUCUGAGGCUACAGCAGAUCUGGUAACUCUUGCUCAAACAAAUACCCUUCAUGUUAUUUGUGACCCUCACUGGGAACAAUUACUGCUACAUAUCAGAGUUCUGACUCAGUUUUAAGUCUUUUUUUUUAUCUCAUGCUAACAUUUGAUGCUUUCUUUCUCCAAUAGAAUAGUUAGUCAUCGAGCCUGUUUACCAGAUAUCAGCUGCCUUAUCAAGCAUUGGUUGCAAUUUGCUUCUCUGCUGAAUUCACAGCUACAAGGAAGUGUUUCUUAUGAGAAGGCCUUGAUCUCUACAAUGUAGAAUAUUCUUGUCUGUGGCUUUCUCUGACUCCCUCAGUUAUCUUAAGGGUCAAUUCAUGGAUGAAAUGGCAUUGAGAGUCCGAAGUGAUCUUUGAGGACCCCAGGAUAGACAAAAUCCACCAAAGUUUCCUUGCAUGUGAUAAGAAUAUAGUGGACAGGGUUUAUAUUCAACUUAGUCAAUGAAAUGAAAUGCUCUCCCUUUAUACCCUGUAUAUGGACAAACGUUUACACAACUGUAUUGGCUUGUUAGCUAUGCCUGCUUACCCAGUUUUCAGGCUGUGAAGAGGGGACUUUGUUCUCAGCAAGGGAUCAGGUGGUGGACCAAUAUCAAAUUCUUGCUGACUGUUUCCCAGCUCCUCUCAGGUAAGCAGCUUCUUCCAUGUAGGAAGUGGCAAGGUCCCGCUCCUGGGAAUCACACCGGUUUCCGCCUUCUGCUUCUUGUGAAAAACAAGUAUGGUUUCAGCCAUCUCCUCAUUGAGAAAAAAAAGUCCAGUUUCCCUCUUCUACUCAUUGAGAAAACAAGUCCUUGAGAAAAACAAGUCCUUAUUUGGCUGUUCCUGCUUGGCCUGGUAACUUAUGCUUAGUACAUCCUAUCUGCUGUCCCCAUGUGGCUUGCUAGUAUUGGCUAGUACUAGCUAUUUAAAUGUGGUGCAUUUCCUGUGUCAGAAGAUUGUAUCAAGGUUCCUGAGUAAAACUGCUUGAAGAAUAUCUUCACUGUUCCUGUCUUCCUUGCUGGUCGAGGUCGGGCGUGACAAGUGGGCCCUACAGGGAUGGAGAUCAGAACUUCUCGCAGACAGGGCAGAGGUGGAAAAGUUCCCAAGGUUUACCAGCAGAUUAAUGAAGUUUCAACAAAGGCAUGAAAAUCCUUACCUAAUAAGCGAGAAGUGAGUGGAAACCUCACCAAGGCCCUUCACGAACCUAUGGAGCAUUCUCUGACUUUGUAGCGCGAUUAGUGGAAGCAGCAGGGAGACUCUUUGGAGACCCCGAUACUGCUAUGCCCCUGAUUAAACAGUUGGACUAUGAACAGUGCACAAAGGAAUGUCGAUCCGCUAUCACUCCUUACAAGAACAAGGGCCUUGAGGCUUGGAUGAAGGUCUGUAGAGAAAUAGGGGGACCUUUGACUAAUGCUGUACUUGUGACUGCUGUUAUGCAGAUGACGCAGAGAAAAGGAGGAAGCUCAGGAGUGUGUGUUAAGUGUGGUCAACAGGAGUGCCUAAAAAGGCAAUGUCAGGAAAGGAUAAGACUAUUCAGUACAGGAAGUGGACAACGCCCAAGACAACAAGGGCUGUGCCCCAAGUGAAAAAAGGGGAACCAUUGGGCUCAUGAGUGCCACUCAGGAAAAGACAUCAAUGGGCAGCCUCUUAGCUCGGAUUUUGCUGGAGCAUGUCCAAAAAAUGGACAGAAGGGUCCAUGACCCCAGGGCCCACAAGUAUAUGGGCCAGUUGAGAAUCAGGAUGUAGAACAGAGUCACAAGCGAUGGCUGUUCCUUUGCCAUCCGAGGGGCCAAGGAGAGUCACUAAGGGCUCCACAGGACUGGACCUCUGCUCUACUCCCAGACUUAUACUAACACCUUGGAUGCGGUUCCAGUUGAUAGAAACGGAUUUUAACGGACCCCUUGAACCUGGCAAAGUAGGGUUACUUAUAGGGAGAUCAUCUACAGCUUUAAGAGGACUACAUGUCCAUCCAGGAGUUAUUGACCCAGACUAUACCGGGGUAGUCAAGAUCAUUGUAGAAUCACCGAUAGGGAUUACUGCCAUUUUCCCUGUGGACAGAGUAGUCCAACUAUUACUUUUCCUAGCCUUCAUGAAAGGGUUGUAGCCCAUUCUAAAGAGAGGGGAGAGAAUGAUUUUAGUUCCACAGGCUCCGACAUUACAUUUUUAGCCUUGGGUUUAAACCAAUGCCCAGUUAUGGAGCUAAGGGUAGAUGGUAAAAGGAUCCUAGGACUGUUGGAUACAGGGGCCGAUAGAAGUAUAAUAUCUAAGAGGGAUUGGCCCUCUGGAUGGCCAGUACAGGCCUUAUCUCAAACAUUACAAGGUCUCAGUUAUCCAAGAGCUCCUGAUAUGAGUGCAAGACAAUUGAGUUGGAGAGAUCAGGAAGGGCAUUCUGGAGUUAUGCAACCCUAUGUGUUGGUUUUGACCAUUUCCAUUUGGGGGAGAGAUUUGCUGAAAGAUAUGGGUUUCAAAUUUACCACUGUGUAUUCUGAAACUUCACAAAAGAUUAUGAACCAUAUGGGCUAUUUUCCGGGUUAAGGAAUAGGGAAAUACCUGCAGGGUAGGACUAGCCAUAUAACUGCCCAACAGAGAGAAAGUAAUCAGGACCUGGGUUUUUCCUUGGGGCCGCUGAGGAAUGGUUCCCAUUACCUGGAAAACAGAGGAGCUGGUUUGGGUACCUCAGGGACUGCUUUCUUCUGAGAAGCUUGCCACAGCUAAAGCUGGCUACAAAGCAUAUAAAACCAUAAGUAUUACCUUGG